AGGGGGGUUUGACCAUGGCUCAGGAAUGAACGUUGGUGGCGUGGAUUAGGCAUGCAAGUCGAGCGAGAAUUGCCCGCGGAAGCUUCGGCCGAAGCGAUUCAAGGACAGCGGCAAACGGGGUAGUAAUGCGUAGGUUACGUACCCUCCGGACCGGGAUAGCCACGGGAAACUGUGGGUAAUACCGGAUAAUCUCUAUGGAGCAAAUGGUGAGAUUCCGCCGGAGGAGCGGCUUAUGUGGUACCAGGUUGUUGGUGAGGUAACGGCUCACCAAGCCAAAUACGCCUAGGGGGUGUGAGAGCAUGGCCCCCACCACUGGGACUGAGACACUGCCCAGACACCUACGGGUGGCUGCAGUCGAGAAUCUUCGGCAAUGGACGCAAGUCUGACCGAGCGACGCCACGUGCGGGAUGACGGCCCUUGGGUUGUAAACCGCUGUCAGAGGGGAUGAAACAUAGAGGGCUAUCCCUNUAUG
rnacentral:rRNA from 1 species